rnacentral:rRNA from 1 species
UACGGAGGAUGCAAGCGUUGUCCGGAUUUAUUGGGUUUAAAGGGUGCGUAGGCGGUCACAUAAGUCAGUGGUUAAACACUUUCGCUCAACGAAAGGGCUGCCAUUGAUACUGUGUGACUUGAGUACUGUAGAGGUAGGCGGAAUUGGUAGUGUAGCGGUGAAAUGCAUAGAUACUACCAGGAACACCGAUUGCGAAGGCAGCUUACUGGACAGUAACUGACGCUGAGGCACGAAAGCGUGGGGAGCAAACAGG